GCCCGUGUAGCGCAGUGGUAGCGCGUGUCCCUCCUAGUCAUUCAGGAGUGAGGAUGAGGCCGUCGGUUCAAUCCCGACCUCGGGUG